UCUCCCCUCCUCCCCACGGUCUCUCCUCCUCCUCCCAUGGUCUCCUCCUCCCCACAGAAAAGAAAUCAAUAUUUCUCAAAUUGUAGCAAGGAAAUUGGGGAAUCAAUCCGGUGCGCUCACUCCAUGGAAUCUCUCCUCCUCCCCCUUGGGAAAAGAAACCGAAUCUCUCUCAAAUUGGAGCAUCCAAGUUGGGAUAUAGAUCAGAUUUUCUCAUGUACCCUCUCUAGACACUUUGUGGAGAUUGCAAUGGAGCUCGACCUGGCCCAUACAGCUAGCUUAUAUAUUAACUGCAGCCUAACACAAACAGUCUCAACAUCAAGGAGGCUCCUGUCGGCCAUGAACAUCGUCGCUGGUGAACCUUCUCCUGUUUGGUCAACUUCUUCUGUUUUCGUUCAAAACAAUGGCAUACGAUGUGCUCCAUGAUAUUAGCAAAUACAAGGAUCGUUGAAAAGUCAAGGUCAGAGUAAUUAGGCUAUGGGAUGCCAUUAACCUCAACAACAAUGAAGUUAUUAGCCUUGACAUGAUACUACUUGAUGAAGAGGCACUAUGAUACAUGGCAAGGUAAUGAAACAUAUGGUUAACAAGUUCAGACCAUUGAUCCAAGAAAGUUUAGUCUACAUGAUUGCAAAAUUUAAGGUUACAUCUGCAAUGAAUUUCCGUCCAGUUGAAAGUGAAAAGAUUUUACAUUUCUUGCACACGACAAAAAUUCAAGAGAUAAAAGGUCUAAAAAAUACCAGAAUGGCAAAACAAAGCUUCACGUUUUGUAGUAUUGAAGUUCUUUCCACAAGAGAUGACCAGAAUAUUUACUUAUCUGGUAUGAUUCUAUUUGUUUCGAUUAUUAAUUUCCAUGUUUUCCACAUAUUAAUACCACUUUAGUUAGCAGAUGUCAUUGGCAUAGCAAGUUACAUAGGCCAUAUUGAAGAAACAAAAACAACCCUGGGAUUUCAAAGAUUCGAGAUAUUGUGCUUCAAAUUGAGGAUCAAAAAAAUAACAUUAGACUAUGCGGUAGUAAGGUUGGCCAAAUUGAUGAAGACUCUUUGGGCCAUGUUGUCAUAGUAACAUCAACUACCGUCAGAAAACUGGAAGGUUUGUAUUUGUAUUAACAAUGGGUAAGUAUUUCUAGGAAUGUUUUUAUACAUAAUUUGAUAUAUCAAGUGCAUGCAGAGUACUUACUGUCAUCUACAGGUGCGACUACAGAGAUAACCAUGGAAAUAUAUAUAUAUAGUACUCCCUCUGUUCAUCAAUAUAAGACGUUUUAGAGACUCGAGAGGAGUAUAUAUAGUGCAUUCACGAUAAAAAAAACUGCAGAUCGGAUGUGAAAGAAGAUCGGACUGUGUUAGCCUGUUAGUUGAGUUGAUGUGUCGAUGAAGGCCUCCCUGCCUAAUGAGAUGAUGCUGAGUAAACGUACUGGCUGCAUCCCGUGUCUCCAGAUGUGGCAAAGGAAACUUGAUUGAAACAUGUUUGACUAUACGUGCUAAACAUAUCUAUUUUUUUAAAGGAGCUCAUGUUUUUACUA